CGUCAGGCUUGGUCACAGGUUCGAGUCCCCUCGCGCGCAGUGGUUAAGCGCGCAUUUUUGCUUAUCCAGUCUCGCUGACAGGUGGGUCCCAUUGGUCAGCCUCACUAGCAUCCAGACCCCACCUGUCAUCCACUCCAGUGCAUAUCUUAAUCAACUCGUGGGAGUUGGCCUGUUUGGGAAUAUUCCCUUUUGGGAAUAAUACGUUUUUGGAUAUUUCCAUAAUUGGCAGUUUAUGUUCUUUGCAAUUGUGCAUUAUUUUUCCAAGCAACCCCCAACAUAUUAUAUAUGUUUUUGGGGUAGAAAAAUCCAAGGAAUCUGAUGGUGGUAUUUGUUUUGAGUUUUGAGCAAGUUUGUGUGCAUGAAUAUUUGAAUCUGUUGCUGUUUUAGAUUUGAUGCAUGGCCCACAUGAUAAUAGCCUUAGGGGUAAACUUUGUGCCAUUGUCUUCUAUGUCAUGCCAUGGUGCUGUAGGAUUUUUGUUGUAAUUUUUGGAUCAUUAUGUUGAGUGGCACAAGCUGUUGAAGUUGCUACUAAAUUCUGUUUUAAACAUGUGGUAAAUUUCACUAAGUCCUAAGUGUUGAAAUAAUCCAGAUGCCAUGUUUAGCUCCUGUUAUCUUUUAACCUGUGCAUAUCUAGCUAAACUUCAGUAAGGAACUUUUGUUAAGGGUGUCAUGCUUAACAUUUUCAUGCUAUGUUGCUGUAGAAGAUUUUGCUGUAUGUGUUAACUACCAUGCUCUAAAGUUGCUUCCAGAUUCUGUUUCCUGCUUGCCAUGCUAAAUUUCUACUAAGUCUGUAAACAGUAAUUUUGUCACAUGUUUAGCUCCUGUUUUAAUUGUCUUCCAAGCAUUUUCAUGAGUAGCUUAGUUGGACUUUAUUGUUGUAGUUGAAAUGCUAUUUCCAGCCAUGUUCUUAGAUUUCUAUUUGAGUUGCUGUAGCAUAUUUAAUUGUUGUGUUGAAGUAGCUAAGUUGUUGUUUUUGGCAGAUUUGCUUGUAACUUGAUAUGCUUGUCAUUUCUUGCUCGUAACUCCGAUUGCUAUGAUCUUUAUAUGGUUUUCAAUCAAUUUCACCUCCCCUAUCCAAUGGCUACCUUGUCCUGACAAGAUUGGGCCAUUUCCUUGCUGUCCACUUCAUAACUCCCUCCGAUCAUCGUGCCCCUUCGUUUCCGUUACCGUUUCGAUUCGUUGCAUCAUAUAGUCAUAUGCAUACAUGUUUCAUAUGCACUUUGUUGUGUGGUAUGUUUAUUGUAUUCUUGUUUGUGUGUGGGUAGCUCCGGGAGACGAUUUCGUGAACGAGGGUUCCGUUGAUUACGAUCAUACCGAGGAGCUGUUUACCGAUCCUACCGAGGAAUUACCAGGAAAGAUGAUCCUUACCCGUGAUACCAUUACUAUGCUUGUUUGGCUAGUUAUACGCUCUUUCGCUAUGUCAACGAAUCCUAUCACAUGUUUAGCCCCUUAUGUUGCCUCGAUGACUCUAACCAAUCCUGUCCCAGCAAAACCUUGAUUGGCUAGGUAGCGCUUGUUUUUAAGCCCCUUGUUCUUAUAGCGUUGCUAGUUGCAGGUUGAUCCUUGUUGGAUCAUAAUAUAUAUAUUCUGGGAUAUCACAAUAUUGCUAUGUUAAUAAUGCACUCUUAUAUACUUGGUAAAGGGUGGAAGGCUAAGCCUUUUGCUUGGUGUUUUGUUCCGCUCUUGCCGCCUUAAGUACCGUCAGUCCGGUAUUAUGUUCCUUGAUCUUGCGUUCCUAACGCGGUAGGGUUUUAUGGGGACCCCUUGACAGUUCGUUUGGGUUAAACAUUUCCAGCAAGGCCCAACAUUGGUUUUACCAUUUGGCAUAACAACUAAAACUUGCAUAGGGACCGGCUAGAACCCGUGGACUCUUUUAAUCAACAACCCGGGCCAGUGCUCCUCAUGAGUGUUGGUCCAAACUAGAGCACCGUGCAGGGCCGCCCCUUGGCAACUUGGGUAUUUGGCCACUGUAUGCAUAGCUCAUCCGGUCGUGGCCUGAGAUGAGAUACGCGCGGCUACUAUCAGGGUGUCGGCACGCCGGGAGGUCUUUGCUGGAUUUGUUUCGCCUUUGCAGAAAUGUCUUGUGCAACUAGAACCCGAGUCUGAUCGGAUUCUUUACUAUGGAGGAUUGUCUCCGCAUGCCGUGAGAGCUUGUCGUGGGCUAAGUUGGAACACCCCUGCAGGGUAUUAUCUUUCGAAAGCCGUGCCCGCGGUUAUGGGCGGAUUGGAUUUGUUUAAUACCGGUGGUAGAUAAUCGGAAGUUAACUUAAUUAAAAUACACCAACCGUGUGCGUACCGUGAUUGUCUCUUUUCAGAGGAAUCCGGGAAGAGAACACGAUGGGGUUAUGUCUGACCGUAAGAUAGCUAGGAUCACUUAGUGAUCAUUAGUCUCGACCGUUGGCGUGGGCCUUCUCACCUUAACUCUGAUUUGCGUAUGUUAGCCACCAUACAAUGCUUAGUCGCUUGCAGCAGCUCCACUUAAACAGCCUGAACCCUCCUAUUAAACUUGCUUAGUCUUGUUACCCCGGGUAUCGGGAUUGCUGAGUCCUCGUGGCUCACAGUUACUACAACACCUCAGAUGCAGGUACGACCAAGUUCGAUAAUGCUGAUGCUCAGGAGCUGCAGUGGGAGUACGACGAGGAUCGUGGGUGUUUCUAUGUUACUUAUCUGUACGAUCAGUAGAUUGGGUUCCUAGUCGGGUGAUCCGGGGCUUGUAGCAGGGUGGUCUUUUAUCUUUCUAGAUCCGGAGUCGGAUAUUAUGAGAUUGUAAUAAUAUGAUGUUAUAUUACUAUAUUAUAUUUUGGGGCAUGUGUUGCCUGGCUUAUUAUUCCUGUACCCCUUUCAUAUGUUGUAUGCGUGUAUGAUUUUUCCACCUUGCUACGUGUUUAGGAUGACUUUAUACCCCGGGCUUGAAUUCAUCACAAGUCCCCGAUAUAACUUCAUCCUGGGCAUUACAGACCAUCUCCGCCGGUUGCAGAUUUGCAGACCACAACAGCGACCAUCCGUACAUCUGGGAGUGAUGAGUCAGUAUCCGCCAGCACCGCUGAGAUAUUGCCCACACUGUUGUCGAUGAGGACUGCUGUUUUGAGCAAUGCCACUCCAUCAGCAAGUGCCGAAGUGAAUGCUCCUGAGAUUGUCCUAAACAAGGAAGAUUCUCGCUCAUCUAAUACGGGUUCCAAGCGCGUGUCUGGUGGUCCAGAGGCCGUGGCAACGGUUCAGAAAGAGAGGCCACCCAUAGUUGAGUCUCAUCACACAACAGCUCCAUCGGUUGGUGGUCCAGAGGCUGUUACGACGACCGUUGCACGAUCCGGUCUGCCACCUAUGCGGCGUAGCCCCCGCAAGCAUCCUGCGCAAACAUCAAACGCACCAGGUGCAGUCUCGAGGAGGAGAGACAAGUCCAUGUUUGUGUCUGCUUCGACGUUGUUCCCACCUCCUGCAAAAAGCAUUGUCAUGGAGAAAACGGAAGUCCGGGAUACUGCCGACGCAGGAGGUGAACCUUUGGAACGGUCUGCGCCCACCAUAGUCAUGGAGAACGCCAACUUAAAUCUGCGCACUUCGAAGCUCCCAGUCAACACUGGCGUCCCAUAUAGCCCAAACAGGAGGAUAGUGAAGGAAGUUGCAACGGAGGUCACUGACACCGCGCCCGUGCCCACUAACAAGCCUGAUGAACCCAUAGCAGACGAUGCAGGAAUGUUUGUUGAUCUGUCACCUCUUGAUUCUGCGCAGCAACUUGCUCAAGAUCCGGAUGGUUUGCGGGAGAGGCACCCAAUAGAUUUCACCCCACCGAGCUGCAUCCUUGGCAUCGAUCGCAGUGCAGAUGCAACAGCAGUGCAAGAUCCUAUGCCUGUUGCGUUUGCUUUUCCGGCGGACAUGGUCCCAAUGAUGGCACAACCAAUUCUUGACGGCAGGAAGGCUGUGAAGUUUGCUGAGCCGAUAGUGCAAGCCACCCCUCUUGAGAUUUCACCGUCACUCAAAGACGCGUACCGUAGGAUUGAAGAUGAAGCAUUGUACAGGAGGUCCUCACGGGUUAAGGGGCAAUCAAGUUCUAAUGUGACAACUGAGUCCGUAUUUGAGGAUACCAUUAAAAGUGCCAUGCCUGGAUCUGUGAGGCAGAUUAGGGUGGUCCAUGCACCACGCGGGGAUGACUACGAGCCCGUAGUUAAGGCGACAAAGGAGCAGAACCAGCUAUACGACAUUCUCAAGCGUUUUGGAAAUGCCAGAUCGAACAACAAGCAUAUGAAGGAGUUGAGAGCCUCAUGUUUGGAUAGAACGAAAAUCGUAUAAUGCGAUGUCACUUACGUUGAUCUGGGUGAUCUUGCUGAGUCUGUGAGGCCACUUGGCAAGAUGUCGAAGAAUGUACUUGCAUGCGGGAUUGACUUCAUCAACACGCACGUGGACGUUUGUCCCGACAAGACGAUCUUGCAGUAUAGCGUGACAUGCAAGAUAUGGGAUGGUGACUUCCACCACAAACUUCUGAGGACGCAUUUUGCCAUGCAUGGUGAUUUCAAGCUCACAUUGAAAAAAUAUGAGCUUGCACCACACAACCGAGAUGACAAGUGUGGCCACCACUACGCGAUCUGCGUUGACCUGAAGUACCAACGUUUUGAGGUGCUUGAUUUGAUCCGCUCAGAAGAAGAUACAUAUCUGACGACGCAUGCUGAAUUCUUCAUCGCUAACCUGAAAGAGGCAUGGAAGCGACACUACCAAAACUCGAAGGUCCAGAUCAGCCAUUUUCCAAUUGAGUAUGUGACGACUGAGAAGCAAGGAAACGGGCACGACUGCGGCUUUCAUGCUUUGGAGUAGUUUGCAAAGUGGGAAGGUCGACGCGUCCCUACGAUCACAGAUGCAAUGGUCCUAGAGCUCCGCAAAAUAUACACAUGGAACUGGCUUAUGAAUGGAGAUUUCAACAAGCGGGAGAAUGCACAAGAGUUCUUGGAGGAUGCUGUCAAAACUGCCAUCAAGAAGUAAAAGUGAUCGCAUGAUGCUCCUUAUGGCAAGCCUACCUUACAUUCUGUGCUUGAUGAAUGUAAGGUAUCACCUUGUCCUUCUAAAAAAAAACUAUGUCUAUGUGCUCUGUCAUGACUACGUCCACUUCCCCCCAUCCCCUUAGUGUAGUACAUACUGUUUAGCCCGUGAGUACUGUUUGAAUUAUUUGUAAUAUAUGUGUGUGUGUGAACCUGAUUAGGUGUUAGAAGAA